AACCAUUUUGAUGCAGUCGAUAAUAGGGCAGACGGAGAGACAGAGGGUACAGCCGGUGCAAGCGUCAGUGAUGGUGGGCAGGUGGUCAGAAGAAUACAUAAAAUCAUAUCACAAUCAAAUAGGACCUUUCUCCAAGCUAAAUAAGACUCUCAGCUGAGGGCUCGGGGACUGGGAAGAAGCUCUGGCUCACUUUAUGUGGUAGGAACACAACUUGCUCAGCUUUUCCAGCUACAGAAGAAUUUCAGGUCCCAACCAGCACAACUAGUCGGUGGUAAAACGUCUUUUUUUCUAAUUGUAGUAAAAGCCCAAUCAACACUGAAUGGAAGACCAGAGAAGGAAGCAAGUUCCUUCCAGAUCAUGGACAUAAGUUGGUAGUUCUUUUCUCUGCUUUCUCCUUUAAGGAUGUCGCUCAACACUGCAGCCAGAUGACCCUUUGAAAAACUCAGUCUGAUUACGUCAUUCUUCCUUUUAAAAAGCCUCCAUAGUUUCCUGCCAAGGACUUUCCUACUUCAGAGUCUUUGCAUUUUCUGUUCCUUUUGAAUGGAAGGCUGCACCCUUGGGUGCUUAUUUGCAUUUAUCACUCUGUCUCUGUGAUGUGUCUACUCAUGCCAUUUAACCAGGCAGGCAACCCCUGACCAACCAACCUCUCCGGCAAUUCCUUUUCUCCAAAACCUGCUGAAUCUUCUCCACAGCGCUGUGGCCAUCUGGUAACAGUAUGUAUCCACUCGCUCAUUUGUUUAUUGUCUGUUCUCACUAAAAUGUAGGCACCCUCAGAAUUGGGCUUUUGUUUUGUUCACUACUGACUUGCUGGUGACUAGAGCAUUGCUGGAACAUAGUGAGUGGAUAUUAAUAGUCAUUGGAUGAAUGACAAAAUGGAUGUAUGGGUAAAUAGGAUAAUUACUGCCAGUUGGAAAUUGAAAUCUCAGUGGUUACACGUGAAAGACACAAUAAAACAUUAUUGGAUGCCCUUGCUAAGAUGAGUAGCACUUUCUGAUCUGUGGUCCACUUCCUCAGACUUCCUCUCUUUUUCCCCCCUCCACUUCACCAUUUCCUUCUGGUUAUUCUCUUAUUUCCUUGAUCACUUGAUCCCACUUUCUUCCCCAGAACGUCCUAUUCCCUCAUAGGGUACUAGGUUAAGCAAGAAAUAAGAAAAUAUACGAGAAGCUACUGUCUGUGUCUGGCAACUAGUAGGCGGUCAGUAUGUUAGUUUUCUCUUUAUAUCCUCCAGCACAGGUCCAUAAUUAGCCUGAGUUCACUAACUUCAGUAUGUUCAAAUCUGAAUUUUUCAUCCACAUCAAAAAAACUCAUCAAACCUAAAAACACCAAGGAAAAAACCCUGAUUCAUUAUCUUUUAUUUUUCUUUAUUUUAGUUACUGGUACUAUCAAUAAUCUAAGCAUCUUAACCUCCUUAAUUGCAAUUCCUUACCCUUCCUAAUAGCCCAGUAUAUAAAAGAAUCACUAAGUUUUAGAAGAAUUAACAGGACUUCAUCAAUUUCACCUCUGUCUCUAUUACCCUAUCACUGGGAAUAGCCCCUUUUCCUCUUAACCUUCUAGUCACUACCCAGUCUACAGUCCUUAAAUGUCACUUUCUCAAAGAGGCCUUCCUCAUCCCCUUCAAUCUAAACUAGGUCAUGCUAUGAAAAAUACUGCAUACAUCUUGUAUUUUUUCUUUACAGUUUGUAGUAUAAACAUAAUUUUAUGUUUCUUUCUCAGUUCUAUAUGUUUCAUGAGGAUAGAGGCUAUGUCUUUUAUUUUUUGUACUAUAGAUGUCCAAUUCCUAGCACAUUGCUUGUCUCAUGGUAGGUAUGCAAUAAAGAUUUCCUGAAAAAUAUAUGAACUUCUUCAAGACUUCCAGCUUGGUUGACCUCCAGAGCUUUACACUCUUAAGUUUAUUUUGUUUGACAUAAGGAAAUGGAAGGUCACCCUAACCGGUUACCUCCUUCAAAUUGUCCAUUCCUAACAUCAUAACUAAUAGCAGAUAACAUUUAUUUAGGAUAUAUUUAGGUGUAGAUUAAAAAGCUGGAAAAGGAAAUGGCAACCUACUCCAGCAUUCUUGCCUGGAAAAUUCCAUGGACAGGGGAAC